GACGAACGCUGGCGGCGUGCUUAACACAUGCAAGUCGAACGGAAAGGCCCUGCUCUUGUGGGGUGCUCGAGUGGCGAACGGGUGAGUAACACGUGAGUAACCUGCCCUUGACUUUGGGAUAACUUCAGGAAACUGGGGCUAAUACCGGAUAGGAUCUCCUGCUGCAUGGUGGGGGUUGGAAAGUUUCGGCGGUUGGGGAUGGACUCGCGGCUUAUCAGCUUGAUGGUGGGGUAGGGGCUUACCAAGGGUUUGACGGGUAGCCGGCCUGGGAGGGGGACCGGCCACAAUGGGACUGCGAGACGGCCCAGACGCCUACGGGAGGCAGCGGUGGGGAGUAUUACACAAUGGGCGGAAGCCAGAUGCAGCAGCGCUGCGUGCGGGAUGACGGCCUUCGGGUUGUAAACCGCUUUCGCCUGUAACGAAGCGUGAGUGACGGUAAUGGGUAAAGAAGCACCGGCUAACUACGUG
rnacentral:rRNA from 1 species